rnacentral:rRNA from 1 species
UACGUAGGGGGCAAGCGUUGUCCGGAUUUAUUGGGCGUAAAGGGCGCGUAGGCGGCGUGGUAAGUCGGGUGUGAAAUCUCAGGGCUCAACCCUGAAACUGCACUUGAUACUGCUCUGCUUGAGGACUGGAGAGGAGACUGGAAUUCACGGUGUAGCAGUGAAAUGCGUAGAUAUCGUGAGGAAGACCAGUGGCGAAGGCGGGUCUCUGGACAGUUCCUGACGCUGAGGCGCGAAGGCCAGGGGAGCAAACGGG